rnacentral:lncRNA from 1 species
CGGGCUGCCCCACCUGUCUCACUGUCUGGCGCCAGCUGUCUCUUGCCUUCGUCCCCCUUUCGCUUCCCGCAAAGGAAGAGCAGCUGUGCGUUGUUCGACGCUGAACCCUAGAACCCAUCCCCGACUAGCCGGCGGCAUCGGGUGCAUACGGGAUCUGGGCGGGGGACACCCCCUCCUCCUCCUGACGGGACAUGGCCACCAGCUCCUCCACCACCUCAUCCUUGCGCUGUGGCGGGAGGACAUGGCCAACUCCACCAGUUCCUCCUCGCUCUUCGGCUUCUCCACCGCCUUCUCCGGCCAGGUCCUCACUCCCAGGGAAUCUGGGUUCUCUCGGGCCAGACCUCCUUUUUUAUGUUCCAACGCUCGGCUGUUUCCUUUCCUUGAUUCCUUCGAUUUGGCGCGGAAUCUGCGGCGUAUUGCGCUGGGACGCUGCUAGUACAUGUAGAAUGUGCAGACUUAUAUGAGCGUUGUAUGGUGGUACCUAUAAACGACAAGGCAAGACGAGGCGAUCGAGAAUGAGGGAGAACCGGAAGAAGGGGUAGUCUUAUAUGAGCGUUGGAUGGUGGUACGUUGCAGAGAGUUCACAUGAAGACUAUAUGAGAUCACUGAGCAGGCUGUGUCAUUAUUGGUGUGACCUAACAUUGUAGGGGAGUAAUAAUCUAAGUACUUCACAGGGUUGCGACUGCUACUCCUUAGGAACGAUCGAAUAAAGCAGAAUUUCUCUCAGCUUAAUUAGUUAGCCAUCCAUAUGCACACACUCUUUUUUUCAAGGUGUCACGGUACGUUCAAACCCAAAGAUGGAUCAAAAGAGAUUUCAGUUGUUGUCGUUGCUGGUAGCUGCAUAUAUGUGGACUAUGAGACCGUAAGGUGUGUACUCUAGAUCGAUCAACGAAAUGUCCAAUUGAUAAAAUCGAAUAAGAAAAUUUAGAACAUGCAUGAGGCCAUGAGGGUACGUAAGUGGGUCAGCUAAUCGAUUGUAAAGAGUGUAGGUUUAAUUGCAUGCAUGUGAGAGAUGGGAGCUGGAGCUUAAUUGGAGGUACCCUGAAAAGUGAGCUAGCUUUAAUUUCUCCCAGCCUCCCAGGUGCUAUAUAUACACGCAGCUAGCUAGCUCAGCUGAUAUCCCUGUAUGUUCCUCCUCGUGGCUAGUUGCAAACUUGCAAUAGCGCAUUGGAGCUAGGAGUUGCAUUUUCCUCCGAUACAGUAACUGGUUGUAGAAUGAUGAAGCAGAGGCAGUGCGUGGAUGUUUAAUAGAGUCACAGACUGAUUGCUUGCAUCGACGUCGUCGGAAUGAGGGGCACUGGGAAGCAUGUGAACCGCGUGUACGCAAUCAGAGUCCGGAUCGUCCAACGCCAUCGUACGUCGUCCUUUGCUGGAGUUACCGCUCGGGAAUCUGGUCGCCCAUGUAUCGUCGGCGCGUAGUCAAAGGGCCCCUUAAUGGCUUAAUUUCGAUGUGGUGAUGGGCUCCCUCAUCUCGGAGCACGCAACUGGGCUGUGGGCGGACGGCGGCUCAGUUUUGGGACUGGUUGGUCUGCCAAUCGCGGGCCACGCCGAGGAUAAAUCUAUGAUGGUGGUCUUGUUAAGUCUGGCUCGAACGCCCCAGAAGUGGAGGUCAGCUAGGCUAGUUUGGAUGGCCCUGUUUCCGUCGAUGAUUUGGAAUUUGGCUAAUCGGGUGGGGGAAAUUUCUGGGGUAUUUGGCCGUCCGCUAAUUUGGAGUUCGCUAACAAAAUCACUUGCCUUCUACAACCAGGCACAUCUGGUCCUGCUGCUAGUGUCUUGUAUGCAAGGGAGCUAGCUAGUUCGGUUCGCAAGAGCAACCUCCGUCCUCAGGUGCCCAUCAUCGAAGUUUCAGUCCUCUAAUUUGCCUUGACUGUAUUCCUAUUGUUCUUCAUAAUUUCCCUAGCAUGCUGAAUAUGUGUAGAGGCUGCGGACUCUGAGACCGUAAGAUGUACUGCAGAUCAACAAAAUGUAUUCCCUUCAUCCUAUAUUAAGUGACUUUUAUUACAUCUAUGUAGACGCUUUUUAGAUCCAGACACAUCCAUAUUUUGACAAAUUUGAGUCACUUAAUAUGGGACCGAGGAAGUAGAAUUGAAUGAGCAGAUAAUUUAGAACAUGCAUGAGGUAGGUGGGUCUACCAAAGUACCAAUCGAUUUAGAACAUGCAUGGGCAACAGGGCAAGUGUGCUCCUCGCAGGGUGCUGGAGCUCCCAGGUGCUAUACAUACAUGCACCACCAGCAAGAGUACUCUUUAAUUAAGUUUCUGCACACGACCUGCUUCAUCCUUCCUCACCCAUGCAUGCAUGUUUACUUAUUACACGGCUUUAUAUACCCAUAUGCAUCCAGCAUACACGAACUGGCACUAGCAGCAGCUAGGCAUAGAGAUAUAUAGACAGUCAUGUAUUAAUAUUUCACAGAGCAUAAACCGAUUACCAGUGAUAUAAUGUUCCUCCUCAUGGCUGAUUACCAUUCGGAUCUCUGAAAGGACGGAGCCAGAAAUUUGGGAUGAGGGGGGCGAGAAAAAGUAAAGCCGGCGAGAUGAACUCCAUAAAAGACAUAUAGUCUUGAUAUCCAAUAUAUAUAGGCAUAUCAUAUCAAAUAGAGUCAGAUCUAAGUAGUCAAAAUAAAAAUGCAAAUUACAUUUCUACUAAUUUAAAGUUGGCUCUACGACCACGAAGACCGCCACAAAGAUCAAAGGCAUCAAUGAUUUUGUCGGAACUGAACUUUGUUGCUAGUUCCUUCUCGAUGUAGACUAUCAUGCAAUGGCGGAGAUAAUCGCCACCCAAUUUAGCUCGGAGACGUGUCUUAACAAGUCUCAUAGCAGAAAAUGAUCGUUCUGCUGUUGCAGUAGACACAGGAAGAGUUAUCACCAGUCGUAGCAACCUCUCGACCAUUUGAUAAUCAGAAGAUUUGCCGGUCUUAAUUAUUGCUUUUGUCAAAUCAGCAAGUGAUUUGCAUACUUUGAUCUCCGGAUGGUUCAAUGUAUCAAGCUGGAAAUGCGGCAGCUCGCACUCUAACCGGUCUCUUUCUUGACUAGAAAAAUCUACGGGGUAGAAUUUUUCUACUAGUCUACAUACCUUUGACUUGUUGAAUGUGUCAUGUCGUGGAUCCAAACACGAGCAAAGAUCCAGAAGCUCGGUUACUUGAGAACUGAAUCGAUCAUUCAACUCAGUCACUUGUUGAUCUAUAGCAACAUUGAACACAUCUACUCUGUAAUGAUGGAGUACCGUGGUAUUGUCCUGCUUGUUUCGUUUUUGUCUCACAUCAUUACACCUAAGAUUGCAAUGAUAAAAAAAUUAGUAAUUAUUUAGAAGAUAGAUCAGUAAGAGACUACAUCUAUACAUUGUAAUUAAUAUUGGGAGAGAGGAAAAAGAGACAUACUUUUCAUCCAUGUCCGGUAUGAUAAUCUCAUGUUUCACACAAAAUGAUUUGACCUCUUCUAUAAGAUUGUCCCAUCCAUCUUCUCUCAAUUCAGCAAGUAGCGCUUUUGUGUUAGCAACACAAUCCAAUGCAUUUGCAAUAUUUUGUGCUGGAGUUUCACACACAACACAUCAGUGAUCUGCAUAAUUUUUUCCAUGAGGUGUAGAACAAAGACAAAUUCAAAUGUAAUCAUGAUCCUAAGGGCACCACUAGCUUCUCCUCUAGAAUUCCUUGUAGCUGACCGAUCAUUAGCUACACUUCUCAACACUAAAACAGUGGCAGCAAACAUUUUUAACAAGCUCUUGAUCGACUUGUAGUGGGAACUCCACCUUGUGUCUCCAGCCCUUUGUAAGGAUCCUAUUUGAUUUUGGCCUCUUCCCGUGUCAAGCUCUCCCAGUUCAAUCUCUCUUGCAAUUUCAGCAGCCUGAUUGUCUAGUAGCUCAUCAUUACGCUUAGGAGAUGCACUAACAGUAUUCACAAUAAGGUUGGCAUGCUGAAAGAAAUUGUGGACCUCAGCUGCCUCCCUUGACGCAGCAACAAGAGCCAGUUGUAAUUGGUGAGCCAAGCAGUGAAUAUAAUAUGCAUAAGGGCAUAUAUUUUGAAUUAAAGCCUUUAGGCCAUUCCACUCACCACGCAUAUUUCUUGCGCUGUCGUAGCCUUGCCCUCUAAUGUCUUGCACAUUCAACCCAUUAUCAGCUAGGACAGCAACAAUGGAGUUCUUGAGAGUCAUAGCAGUAGUAUCACUAACAUGAAUAAGAUCAAGGAAACGCUCCAAUAUUACUCCUUCUACGUUUACAAACCGAAGAACUACUGCCAUCUGCUCUUUUUUAGACUCAUCUCGAGAUUUAUCAACCAUGAUAGAAAACUUGCUAUUACCCAUUUCUUGUUUAAUUGAGGCUUGCACUUUUUCAGCAAAUAUCUUAGCAAUUUCUUUCUGCACAGUUGGUGCGGUAUACUUUGCGUUUCCUGGAGCAUUAUCUACUACUUCUUGUACUUCCUUAUUAUAAGAACCCAAAAGCUUGAUCAUUUCCUUGAAAUUACCUUGAUUUACGGAAUACUCAGAUUCGUCAUUGCCUCUAAAAGGGCAUGCUUGGAACAUUAACCACCUGAUACAAUCAAUAGUGAAUAGUUAUUAUUAUGUUAUACACCUGAUACGUAAUAAGAAAACCUAUUUUUUUGAAAGAAUUAUUGCUUCCCUCAUGGCAUCGAUGGAAGUCUUAAGCCUAAGUCUUGCAUCAGCAACCUGUUUUUUAGCUUACUUUACAAGGACCUUAUCAAUAUGAUUCAUACUAUUUUUCAGAGUUUCAUAACAUCGAACUGAAAAAUUAUGAGCUGAACUAGGAGUCUUGCCCAUAUGUUUAAGGAAAGCACAUUUUUUCCCUUCAUUGACCUUCUUCCACUUAUUAAAUCCAGUGACUGUGAAUGCGUCCGAACCACAUUUCCCAACUGGCUUCUUUGAAAAGAGAAAACAAGGCAGACAGUAUGCACUAUUUGUAUGUGAAGAAUACUCCAACCAAGGAAAAUUUGUGAACCAAUCACUAUUGAAUCGCCGACGGUUUGCACCUGUUUUGAUAUAUUCAUACUUAUCCAAUUUCGGUUGAUAGGGACCCUUAGAUAUAUAAAACCGCCGAGCAUCAUCUUGCUUGUCUGCUUGAAUUUGCCAAAUCUGAACACGCCUUCCAGGGUCUCGAUCAUAUUCAGUGGUUACAAUUAUAUCCUCUGCGCUGACUUCUGAUGGUUCAGGAAUAUCAUUGGUUGCAGUGCUAGUAAGAUUGUGAUUAGGAUUUUCUGGUUCUUCACUAAGCUGCACAUCCUCGUGCUCUUCAUGUGGCUGAGCAUCCCCAGGUUGAGAAGUCUGAGAACUUGAAGCAAUUGGAGAGAAAAAGUUCUGAAUAGGAGGUUGAUCGCUUCUCUUCCUCUUCAUGUCUACACAAGUAUCAGUUGAACAACAAAAUAAAUUUGUUAAUCUGAACACAAUCCUGAACACAAUCCUGCAAUUCCUAUGGUCUAUGAACAACAAAGUAAAUUUAUUAAUCUGAGUAGAAGUAGAUUAACCUGCUGCUGCUGCCUUCUUGAUUGGGGAUCGAAAUUAGAUUGGGGAUUGCUCUCUUCACGCAGCCUGCUUCCUCGCGCGGCUAUCCUGCUGCUGGCUGCUCCAGAGAUUAGGGAUUUGGGAAUUGGGUUGUCGUCGCAUUGCCUUCUGCAUGCGCCAGGACUCGGGCGAAGUGGCCAGGCGGGCGUCCCUUCGAGUCGCUCGAUCGACCAGUCGAGGAAUCAGGAACGCCAAGCAGGCCUGGUCGCUUCGUGGGCUGGUGGGCUGGUGGGCAGUCAGGCAGUGGGCUUGGGGGGCGCGAAAUUAGUGGCCCAUCUGGAAAACCAGGCGAAUUACUACUACCGUUUAGCGUAUCGAGCCGAUCGUUUGCCCCCCCCCCCCCCCCCCCCCCCUCUGUGUGCCUGGAUCUCUGUAGAACUAGCUAGCUAGCUUGGAACUUUCUGGGAAUGAGAGGCACCAGGAAGCAUGUGAAUUCGAACUUUCAAAUUGACCGCGAGAGCCUGCAGCUACGUGCAUAUUGGCGGAGCCGAGGGAAAGUGUUCUUCUGCAAAAUCCCGGGUAACGCAAGCGGCACGUUGCUGCGGCUGGGUUGUUUCUGCACUAACGGACGGACUAGAUUCUGGCAGGUGUGAAGAAAACAUCACGACUCACGAGCACGGCCGCGGUUCGAAUUGGAGAAAGAAAAAUAAUUGUUGGCUCCUAACUUCAGCUGCUUUUUUAGCAUGAAAAGACUGUAUCAUUCUCUUUUAAGUUUCAAAAUUUUCAAAAAAAUAUUCGGACGUGUAUAUGUUGGAAUGAACUAGCCAUACUUUGUGGAAAAACGUUUCCCUUUUGUACCUUGCAUGAAAAAACAUCUAGGCAAUUUGUAGAAAAAUGUUCGAAAAGGUUCCAUAUGACAGUGCCUAGUUUUAGGAACCGGACGGACCGCGGUUCGACCGGAAAAAAACAGAACAAAAAAAACCGGAACUGACGCCUCUGCCGGUCAGUUAAGAAGAAUGGACCGGACAGCCAACUGAACCGGGAAAAUUCCGGUUGAACCGGCAGUUUUGCAUGGAACCAGGGAAAACCGGGCUAACCGGUCCGGCCGCUGCAGGCGUAGAAAUUGCGAACUCAGUAAAAUAUAUGGCCCCAUGCAGUAUCGAACUCGGGACCUGCUGUCUUCAUCAUUCAAUUCUCAUGUCCUACUGAUAGCGAACUAGUCCCUCCUAUUAAGUGAUUUUCUAUUACAUGUAUUUAAACACUUUUUAGUCAUAGAUAUAUUUAUAUUUGGACGAAUUUUAGUAACUUAAUAUGGGAUGGAGGAAGUACUUUUAUCGGUUCAUCGGUUACGUGGAAAUGUAGAAUUAGAGUACUAAUGAAAAAUACUCCGAUAGAACUAUCGUGCAGAACUUAUACGGGAAAAAGGACAAUAUGCAUACUUGAAGUCCGCUUAAAGUAAAAAUGGUCUCACCUAUCUAAAAACACUACGCAUGUACUCCCUCUGAUCCUAAAUUCUUGACUUAAAUUUGUUCAAAUAUGAAUGUAUCUAUUCUUAAAAAGCGUCUAGAUACAUGUUAUAUUUCGACAACAAUUUAGGAUCGGAAGGAGUACUAAUUAAGUAAACAUACUCUAAUCUCUCCCAAAGGAAAAUACACACACAUGCUACUCUGAUGGCCAACAUAUUUCACACCUACCAAGUACCAACCCAUGCAUCACUUGAAUGUUCGCAUAUCCUACUCCAUACAUCCGCGUCUAUUUAUAUCAUCUCCUACUCUGUAUAUCUUAAGAGACCUGUUGUGCAUCUCCCGUUGUGUCCUCGGACACUUCAGAUUCCCUCAAUCAAGAGCAUUCGAACCGUUGCAUCUUAUAUUUUCCCAUUGAUCUCCGUAUCGAAAUGAGCGGCACCGGGAAGCAUUUUGUGACGAUUGCAGCGUCUGGUACCUGCCCUCAACACGUUAAAGCAGUUAGCAUGGCAAUGAAUUGACUGAACACGUGCGGUGGUUUUUUCAGCGGUACACGAACUUGCAUGUUGGAAGUGAUACAGAUGGUGAACCGCAGAUGAGGAAGCCUGCAUAUGGCCUAAUGGCCAGUAGAUUUUUUGCGAGUACAUAUGGCCAGUACUUAAUUGACCAGCACAUAACUUGGCCUCUUUCCACUGAGGCGAAAACGUUUAUCCAUGAGGAGAAAACGUGGCGAGCUUGUACAACUGUAUGCACGUCCGAUAUAUGUCAGCAACCCUUCUAUUUCUGUUGUACGGGUGGGCUCGAUGAUGGGCUGCAACCCUUGGGCUUGGGCCUGCUUACACCACAUGAGGCAGCCACGGAAGAGAUUGGCUUGGAUCGGAAGGCUUCGGCCUGCUUCAGAAUUGAUGCCCUUGCUUCUCGCUUCCCCAGUUCUUCGCUAGCUCCUUCCAUCUCCUAAUCCCCAUCCAGUGUAAUGGAGAAUUGAGUGUAAUGGAUGUAUUACAUGCUGGGUGUUUACAUCCGAGCUAAUUCUAGGCCUAGAGAUGAUUCAUACACAAGGCCGGGUUUCUUGCGAACAAUUGUUGAAGGUGGUCAUGUGAAAACGCCACAACACCAUGUACAAAAAGAUUGUACUAACAACUUUACUUUAAAAUUUGUCAGAUCUGUUUUUAGAAGAAAAAAAAUAUAGCUUGGCUGAUGUAGGUAAGUAGGAUACCCGCUGAAUAACAUUCCUACCUGAAGAGCAUAAGACUUCUGGUAUAAUAUGACUCGAUCGGUUCUAAAUAUAAAUAACAGAUCCCCGAGGAGAGGAAAAAUAAAUAUGAGUACGACUGUCUCACAUCUAAGUCGUAAUUGCGUUAUGACUCCGUAGCUAGACUCAAUAUAAAGAGGCCGGUAAAUUAAUCAACAUGUAUAGUAUUCCCUGCAUUAUCAUCUCUGUAGUUUUUUCGUUGCUUUUCAACAUGCAUCGACGAUAUAUACUGGUUAAUAAGCUAGAGAAAACUUGGGUGUGUAUCAUCCUUGCAGAAGAGCAUGUGCAUCCACUAAAUUUUCCUCCCAUGCACCCGACUCCCUUUUCUUAUCACCUGCCUGCCUACACUGCUAGGUUGAGCUCUUGAUUGCUAGAGCUAGAUGAUGAAGUUGUGCUUAUCAGGAGUUUGGUGCGAUGGAUAUCUCCCUGCUUUGGAAUGAGGGGCAUUGGGAAAACAAGACUGGAGUGUGUAUACAUGUUCCUGACGGUUUUUCGACUUUUCCUGACGGUUUCGAGCCGUCAGCCAUUUGCUGUUUUGGGGCAGUGGUAAUCGGCUGACCAUUUCUGACUGUAGCAGUCGUUUCGAUAGGCUGCUGCAGGUUUGGGUCCUAGUUUUGAAAACCGGAUCGGUGACCGAACCGACGAGGCUCUCGGUUCAGGUUUGGUUUUUAACAUAUAAAAUAUUAUAUUUUUAACCAUAUCGCAACACCUUCGACCAAAUCCAACCAAAUCGAUAAGCAGCAGCAACUCUGAAGUUCAAGAACAGAGAAGGAGCAGCAGCAAAUCAGCGUCUCUGUUGGCAUCGGGCGUCAGCGGGAGGCGAUGGUGGCGCAGGCGGCGGGGCAGUGCCGAAGGCGGGUGGUAGGGCGGCUCUGAUUGGGGCAGUGGGGCGACGGAGCGGCGUGGUCGGCGAGGGUGGCAUGGCGGCGUCGGAGGCGGCUCUGGUUCGAGCGUCGGCUCGGUGGCGGCGGUACGAGAGCAAAUCGUGGGGGAGAGUAGACUGAGGAGCAAAACCUAAACCUAGAGAUUAAUCAAAAUACCGUAUCUACCCCUGCACUAUUAGAACGAAAAUAAAUCAAACAGGGGGUAUUUUUGGAAGGGGAACUGAACCGGACGGUUCGAAUCAAACCGUCUGGCUCGCCAGUUUUCAUCAAAACCUCCCGGUUUACCUGAUUUUUUCUGGUCCGCUGGCCCGUCCGGUCUAGUGCGCUAAACAGACCGCACUCCGGUUCCGUUUUUUUCCGGUCGGACAGCCGGUCCGGUCCGGUACGGUUUUCAAAACUAGGGUUUGGGUACAUUGCCGGUUCGUGUCGGCUGACACUUUCUCCCAGUAGCAGUUUGAGUCGUGACCGCAUGAUGUUCAAUGAGCUUGGAAAAUAAAGCUUCGUCGGAACAAAAUUUCGUGUAAAGGUCUCAGUCUCGUAGUCUGGCAAGCUUGCAGCGCUGUCUGCUCUUAUAUGCGAAAAGAAAAGUAAGAGCAAGAAGCAUUAGCAUAUUGAAUAAAACUAACCAGAACUCGAAAUGAAGUAAGAGGGGGCCGAAGUUAAAGUUUUUAUACAUGUCGUUGAAUAGCAUCAGAUUCUUGAUGCAGAGGAGGAACGCCUGGUCAUCUACGCCUACAAGGCAUCGCUGAAAACGAGCGCCGAGACCCGAGAAGGCCGCCCGCUAGGUGGAAUUCGAAGCUGAGGAGCUCGUGGCGGGGCUUUGGAGCUGAGAAGGAGCAUCAGAGGACGACGGGGCAGUGGCGCACAGAGGCGCAGCUCCAGACGCUCCUCCCGCUCUCCAACGAGGAGGCUGAUUGAGCCUCUUCAAAAGACAUGUCCUCAAGCCAUUUAGCACGAAGUAUUAUGAUUGCCAUACGGUUUGCAAAUCCAAUGGCGAGAAUUCGGAAUCCGGAUGGAUGGCUUAGUACUAGUUAUUUUAUAUGUAGUAAUUUCAACUUAAAUGUAUUAUUUUGAAUUAUGAAUAAAAAUUAUGAGGUUUUUAAAUUAAAAUCGGUCGCCGUGUUGGCCGCACCCUGCGACCCAAACAGACAUAGGAUGGAUAGGGCCUCUCCAGUCGGCCCGCUGAAGUCGCCCUUAGCUCGCACAAGUCCUGCUCACUUGCCUUUUUUUUUUACCUACGCUCUUAAAUACCUCGCCUACCAUGCAGGACUCUUGCGUAUUCCGUGCAGGUAUAUACAUACACCGGCCUUUUUCUCACUCUUUUCCUCGCAUGCAACACACACAAGUUUGAUCCUCUUGGCAGGAGCGCACACGCACAACAAUAUUUGACGUAAUAGAUGGCCACAUCGGGAUGGAGAAGCCCAGUUCCUUAAUAACUAAUUUACUUCAUCGAUCGGAAUGAGCGGCAUCAGGAAGCGGCUAAAGGGUUGAAGAGGAGUUUUGCUGUCCUUAUCUUCCGUGACCUAUCUGUAUUGGUCCAUAGGCGUGGUUUCAUGGUCCAUGAGAUCGCUCAGGCUUCAAUGGGCUUCUACGAUGGAUCUGGGUCGAGACAUUCUCAUGGAAAUUUGAGACCAGGGCCUACCUGGUGAACCUGCACAACAAGUAAUCCACCAGCGGGAGGAUGAUCGAUGGUAGCCUAUCAUGAAAUCCCUGCCAGGUGUUCAUGAUCGGCAUACUAAUUUAGAUCGUUUUGCAAGCAUUGUUGUUUGUUUUUGUCAUGGGUACGGUCUCACCAAGUUCCGAUAGCAAAUUUCCUGGCAAUACACAUCAAACUCGAUUUUCUUUUCAUUUACUAAUAUAAUGAAUAAUGAGGCAUAGAAGCCUGUAAAAAAAUAUGGGAGUACCUUUUUUGGGUGAAAACAUGUCCUACUUUUAAUCUAGUCGAUACUCUUUCUCGCUAUUAGGUUCUUCUUCUUCUAAUAUCUCGGUCCCAAGUUUGAUGCUUGUUUCCAUACAUGAUGUACAUGCACAUAACACAUUUAUACAGCAGUUCGUGCAUGAAUGCAACUUUAUAAACGUGCAACGCACUGACCUUCCACCAGGAGGCGUACCGUACCGUACAGGACAAUAGACUCCCAUGACAUGAAACAAUAUUCAAUAAUACACCAUCAAGUCCAUCUGCCAACUCCAUCGCCGUGACUCAGUCAGAGUGUUAACAAGUUUUGUUCUGUUCCAUCACUCAUCGAUCCAUAUAUAAUACCGCCCUUCCGUUAUGUCCAUAUAUGCACAAGGCUCUCGCUAUUAUUGGGUUGUCCCGUUUCGGUGUCUUUCGGUUAUACCUUUUCAUGUACUACUCAAUAUACCUAGCCAUGUCUCUAAUUUUGUCAGGGAAUGAGAUGCUUCAGGAAGAGACACAUGGUGACUUGCUGCCAGUGUACACCCAAUUGCUGGCAUCAUUGGGCUCCGGUCUCACGCAAUAUCCACCAUGAGUAGAAUGUCUUCUUGAAAUCUUCAUGGUGGAUAUUGUAUUCCUAGCACGUACAAGACCACCGACUCAACCAUGGACUUCGAUAGGGGUUAAAACAUGUGUGGGCGCAGGGUUUUUUCAGCUCGUUUGCACCAUGGAAUGACUGCUCGUAACCGGAAAUAUGUGCCGUGUGACAAUGAAACGCUGGCAGGACGACCGUAUAUGAACUCUUGAAGAAACUCUGAGAGCCUACUCUGCAAGCACCCCCAAGACCUUCAACGAUGGACACGAGGGAAAGUGUUCUUCUAGGAAUCUAGCUUCCUGCUGCGUCCGGGAUCGCUGCAAACGGAGGAGAUUCAGACAAGUGUAUUUUUUUUAGGGGAGAUUCAGACAAGUACGUGUUGAAUAUUUGUUCACUUUCUGGAGCAGGCAGAUCCACAGAGAAAGAAACUUUGGGUUCCUAACUGCAGUUUGCAUAGGCUGGAGGAAUAACAUAGUAAAAGAACUGCAGUUGCUUCUUUAUCAUGACAAAAUAAUAAUCAAGAACUGUAUUUUGAGUUUCAAACAAUUUCAUAAAAUGUUCUGACGUGUAUAUGUUAGAAUGAACCAGGAAAUUUUCGUGGAAAAACGUUCCCAUUUUUAUACCUGCACGAAAAAAGAACUAUAGUAAAAAUUUGUGGAAAAAUGUUUUCAUUUUGUACCUUGCAUGAAAAAAAAGAGGGGCCAACAGUGCAGCGCAAAUGAAGUGUUGUUUUUUGCACGGAUCACAUAAACGUGUAUUCAGAGUUGUCUUUCCUUCUAACGACAAAUUCUAGCACUAAACACUUGACAGUUAGAGAUCCCUUUGUGUUUCCCCUCCUGACAAAGUGUAUACAUAGUAUUGCUGUAAAAAAAAGUGUAUACAGAGUAUCAAUGCAAUAGCAGAGCACCUGCUAAUUUACUUUUAAAAAAACGGGUAUCAAUGCAUACAGUGAUACCCACAUGCAUUCCAAAACCAUUGCACUUUCAGUCAAUCUGAUAUCUGUCUCCAUGACGAUUAACUUUGCUACUAGAUAGAAUUAAUGGCUUUCAAUAUCAGCGAGUACUAGCAAGCUAAGAUCAGUUCAUGGGUUAUGUGGAAAUAUAGAAUUAGAGUACUAAUGAAAAAUAUUCCGACACACACUAGAACUAUUUUGCAUAACCUAUAGGGAGAAAAGGUCAACAUUGCAUACUUGAAGCCCGUUUAGAGUAAAAAAAGUCACCUAUUUAAGGACAACUAGCUAAAUGCAUGUACGUUGAUACGGAAUUAAAAUAUAUAUUACAUGUAUGAGUUACUUUAAAUAGUCAUGUGAUUCGUGUUUUCUAAUUUUAUGUUAAAUAAAAAUUCUCAAAAUAUUAAUUUAAGAAGUAAUUAUCCCAAAAGUACUGCAUCAAACUAUCAAAAGAUCAUGAUACAUAAUAAAUGUACCACAUUGAAAUGGGUGGUAAUCAAAUGACGAUCAUCUAACAAGCUACAUAGUAGUCUUGGGUGAAUUGACGACCACCAAUUCAAAUCUUUAUAAGUGUAUAGAUAAGCGUAUCAGUACGUAACUUAGUUAUCUCUCCAAAGGGAAAAAGAAGCAAGUAGAUACACACACAUGCUACUCUGGUGGCCCUAAUAAAUCAACAUAUUUCACCUACCAACCCAAGCGACCUAUUAUACAUCUCCCGUUGUGUCUUUCGACACUUCAAUUUCACUCACUCAAGAGCAUUCGGACCGUUGCAUCGUAUAUUUUCCCAUUGAUCUCCGUAUCGAAAUGAGCGGCACCGGGAAGCAUUUUGUGUCGAUUGCAGGGUCUGAUGCCUGCCCUCAACACGUUAAAGCAGCUAGCAUGGCACUGAAUUGCCCUCAUCCUCUUGUUCAGAGCGCACCGUUGCCUUAAUUAGAUUCCAUGCCAAGGCAGAAGCAUGAGUUGGUAGGUAUUCCGUGGUACUCCAUCAACUGAAAAUCUCCAACAUGCCUAUGUAUCCAUAGAGAAGGAGAUGUAUUUAUCUCGCUCUUGUUCGUGUGUUCAUUCCCGUCAUUCAUCUCGUAAUAGUCUUUGGUCGGACAAUAAUAAGCCAGAGAAUGUAUAGUUCUAUUUAUCUGUGAUCCUUCGUCCCAUCCAAAAUUCCAUUUUCCAAUGUUUAAGUUCUUAAUCCGUAGAGCUAUAGAUGUUGAAGUCUUUAGGCAUGAAUGGCAUUGGGAAAUCAGACGUGACCAGGCGUUCCUUGCAUUCUAGGUCUCCUACUGCACCUGCAGUCGGUUUUCCAUUCUUUCGUGCACUCCAAAGCUGCCGGAUCGGAACCACCGUUACUGUAUUACUGUAUUAUGUGAUCGAUCCUGUUGCAUGUGUCUUCGUAGUUCCAGAGUACAACUGUCUUUUUUCUGAGAGGGAGUAGGCCUGUGUUGUAGAGUAGUUUCAAAUAAGUGGAGAGAGAGAACUGCAUCCGGAGCUUGAUUGGAUAACUACUUAGCAGAAAUGGACGUCUUUUCCGGAUAUUAUUUUAUUUCAAUUACUAAAAGUGGUGUCAAAUGAUCCAAUCUGCAAUGUGCCGGUGCAUAUGGCGAGCACAGGGCUCGGCGCGCUCAGAUCACAGUCACAGGCGCACCGCAGCCACAAGCCGCCGCGCCCAAGUUUCUAAUAAAUAAAUUUUGUAAACGUUAAAAACUUAGUUAAGACAAAAUUAGAACAUCUUAUAUUUAGAAACGGAAACAGUAAUAUAGAGUAGAGAUGGACGUUUUUUCCGGACAUUGUUUUAUUUUCAUUGUCAAACAUUUAGGACGAAAAUUGAUCUUUCGUGACCAAACUUAGUGAACUGCUCUGAUUUGUAAUGUGCCUGUCAAUUCUAGAAUGCUUUGGAGAUAUGAUCGGCAAAAAAUGCACCAGUGCUAAUUAACUAAAUAAUUAGUAAAAAUGAAUUUUCCCAAAGCUUUUGUUUUCCUUGUCAAAAGUGGCACUAAAUCUGUUAUGUGCUGGGGCAGAACUGCCGCUUGAGCAUUGGUUUCAUUUUUGGAUGAGCCUAAGGGAAAACAAUGCAAGUCAUGAAAAAAAAAACUUAAAGUCACUUAUUUCCAGAAGGAGCAAGUAGUUUUAAUUAUAAAGAUGGCCUCAUAACAAUGGAGAUGCCACACCCAGUGGCGAAAUGGCAAGUACACAACACAUGCUCAUGCAGACGCAAGGACGGUUCUCCGCAAAAUCUUUAUGUAACUGCCACAUUUUGACAACAUUAUAUGUCACACCCAACACCUUUGAUGUCAACAAUAAAAGUUGGUAAGUAGCACGGUACUCCACUAAUUCACUCCAGAUCUCCAACAUGCCUAUAUAUAGAUGUGUGUCUAGCUUUUAUUAGUGUGCCCAUUUUCAUCGUUCAUCUCACAAUAGUCUUUGAUCAGACAUAACAACUUGUGAUCUUUUUUUUCGGGUAAUAAGUUUGUGAUACUAGCCAGUAGAGCUAUAGGUGAUAAAGUUUUUAGGCAUGAGUGACAUUGGGAAAUUAGACGUGACCGCACGUACUUGGUGCCCCGAGCCCUGUUGCCCAUCAAGUCAGUUUUGCGUUCUUUUUUGCGCUGGCGGGAGUUGCCGCAUCGAUACCACCGGUAUUGUAUCAUGCAACCCUGAGCUGCAUGUCUCUUAGUGGCUCCGUAACUCUACGACGUGAAAAGGAGUUCUUUACCGAGGUGGACCGUGACAAGUUAAGGGAUGGGGCAUCCAGGCUGUCCCGGGUGACUUCCGAGGUGUCUCACGCUCACAGAAACUGGAAGGCUACGACAAUGCAAAGUGCAAGCUGAUGUUUAGGAGGCAGAACGUCGUAUGAAAGUCAUCAAAUUCUGCAGCUUCAUGUCGUCAACCUUGUUGUCAUUAUCGUUUUAGUUGUUAUGCUGGAGUGUUUGUGUACAAUCCCUAGCUAUUGUCAUUUUUUGCUUACUGUUAAAAACCUCUAGAACCUCAUAACAUACAUUGCGGGAGCCAAGCUCCUUCAUUCGAGAAAAAGGAGUUCUCUACUGUUAACGACGAUGCGAUUUUCUGUAUAUAAUUUCCUUCUCAUCACCAGGGCAUCAAAUCUACAAUUAUAAGAGCAACUUUAGCAGUAACCGUAAAGGGGCGGCCCGAACUCCGUUCUCGGUUUUGGGGAAAAAAUGGCCCGAGCAGAUACCGAAAACGAGUCCGGCCCGAAAAAAUAAGUUUGGGGAUCCAAACCACCCUCUCCGCAGCACAUAUAUCCGAAUCGCCCUCUCCCCAAAUCCGAAGCCCUCCGUCGCUGCUCCACCCAAACUCUCCGCUGCAAAACCCCCAUCGCCGCCAUCUUCGGCGACCCCGACUCCGCCAAAAUGGAGGCGCAAGACUCCUCCUCCCACUCCAUCGCCUCUCCCCGUGGAUAAGUUUGUUUGACUGAUGUGGGUAAGAAGAUACCCACUACAUUCGUACAUGUGCGUGGGAAGCAUACUUCAAGUAUAAUGACUCAAUUGGUUCCAAAAAUUAUAUAAGAGAUCGAAAGGAGAAAAUUAACUAAAAUAUGUGUUUGAUCAUCAUGUCUAAAUUAUAGUUCCAUCAUGACUCUAUUUAUAGCUACCCUCACGCCCUCAAUAAAGGUAAAUUGGAGUAGUAGGUACAUAUAGUAUUCAUGGCACAUCACCACCACACCUUACAUACAGAGCUUCAGCUCUUUUGAGUUUUCUCUUGUGUUUCAACAUUCAUCUUACAAUAAUUACUGAUGAUCUAUAUAACUAUAUUGGUCGACCCAUAAGUUAGAGAAAACAUGGGUGUUAUCCAUGCAUGCGAAAGAGCAUGCACAUAAGUUAGGUGUCCGUUAAAACCUCCACAAAGCCUACGAAUUAUUAUAUAUGCACUAUUUUCAUUUCAUUUGUGAUUUGUUCUCACGUCCAACUCCUUUUUUUUUGCUACGCUGCUCUCUUCAUCGGUCGCUAGAGUUAGAUGACAAAAGUAUAUAUUGAGGCAUACAUUGCGAGUAUCGAAUUAUCGAUAUGCCUUCCCUACUUGGAAUGCAUGGUAUUGGGAAAUCAGACAUGACAAUCAUUGCUCUUAGUUCUAUUGUUCUUUGCCAGUCAUCCUGUUUUGUGCAGGCAAGUGAUCAGUGAAUUCUGGCAGGCAGAAACUAGAUGUUGGUUACACGACCUAGUUUACGAUAUCUUCAAAACCCAGUUGCGUGAUCAUGAGGUGUGCUAUUACUAUUAUAUCGACUCGAUUUGUAUAGAUUACACCUCACAAUGUGCAUAUGUACGAGUUUAUACUAUACUAUUCAAAACAAGGUAGAAAUGGACGUUUUUUUGGGAUACUAUUUUCAUUCCGUCGUUAAAAGUGGCAUCAAAUCUGCGAUUAUAAUGUAACACCAAAUCUGUAAUGUGCUACAUAUGGCAAGAAGGGGGCAUAAUUGCAUCUUGAGCAUUGGUUUCAUUUUUGGAUGAGCCUACGGAAAAAAAUGCCAGUCAUGUGAAAAUAGUUGUAAUCAUGGUUGAUCUGGAGAAGAUGACCUUGUAACACUGGAGAUGCCACACACAGUGGCUUCACCACCGAUGGCUGAGUACACAACCCUUGCUCAUGCGGACACAAGCACAUUUUCCCCACAAAAUUUGCGCUAUGCAACAGCGGCAUAUUGACAAUAUUACGUAUUACAAUCAACACCUUUGAUGUUUUUUUUUUGCAGGGAUCACCGGUACCCUUGAUGUCAACAAUAAAGGUUGGUAGGUAUCACGUGGUACUAUACUAAUUCACUGCAGAUCUCCACCACGCUUAUUUAUAUAUAGAGAGAGAAGAGAGGUGUGUGUAGCUCCUUUUAGUGUGCCCAUUCCCAUCAUGCAUCUCACAAUAGUCUUCAAUCCGACAAUAAAAGGCUAGUGGUCUUUGGUUUCAUCCAACUUCUUUCCCCACUGUUUAAACUCUUCAUCGGUAGAGCUAUAGGUGUUAGAAGUCUUGAGGCAUGAGUGGCAUUGGGACAUCAGACGUGAAUAGAUGUAUUUUGUAAUCCAGACCUUGCUGCAUACCUAGUCAGAUUUGCGAUCGAUUUUGCGCUGGUAGUAGCGCUCUUAUCAGAACCACCGAUAAUGUAUCAUGUGACCCUGAGCUGCAUGUCUCUUCAUGGUUCCAGGGGUGUACGAAGGGGGAGCAGAAAUGGACGUAAGCAAUAAAGAGGUCUUUACUGUUCAAAAAAGAGUAGGAAUGGACGUUCUUUCCGGAUAUUAUCUUUCCACAGUUAAAGGUGGUGUCAAAUCUGCAGUUGUAGUGUGUUGUGGCAUAUGGCGAGCAGAAGAACGAAGCUCACUUGCAUUCACAGGCGCACGGCAGCCACAAGCCCCCCUGCGCCCCCACAAAAUCUGAUCACGAGGCCAUGCCGGAUUCCCCUUUGCCAAUCGCCUGCGCCCACCUCACUUCCCCCUUAUCCCCGCCUCACCCAUCUCUUAUCCCCUCCCUCCUCUUACAAACCCACAAACUAAUUGGCCGCGCACGCGCCUCCCCUGAUCAGCCAGGAAGGAAUCCAACUCCCACCACACGCCCCCACGACGCGCGCGCCAGCAGCAAUGGCCGCCCUCGCCGCCUCCAUCGCCACGUCCACCGCCUUCGCCUCCAAGCCGCGCCUCUCCUCCCCCACCCCGCGCGCGCGGCUCUCCGUCUCCUGCUCCGCCACCGGCGACAACAACAACAACAACCCCUCUCUGGCCACCGCCGCCAAGACCUUCUCCGCGGCACUCGCCCUAUCCUCCGUGCUCCUCUCCUCGGCGGCCACCUUCUCCCCACCCCCGGCCGCCGCCGACAUCGCCGGCCUGACCCCGUGCAAGGACUCCAAGGCCUUCGCCAAGCGCGAGAAGCAGUCGGUCAAGAAGCUCACCUCCUCCCUCAAGAAGUACGCCCCCGACUCGGCCCCGGCGCUCGCCAUCCAGGCCACCAUCGAGAAGACGCAGCGCCGGUUCGAGAACUACGGGAAGUUCGGCCUGCUCUGCGGCUCCGACGGGCUGCCCCACCUCAUCGUCAGCGGCGACCAGCGGCACUGGGGCGAAUUCGUCACCCCCGGCGUGCUCUUCCUCUACAUCGCCGGCUGGAUCGGCUGGGUCGGCAGGAGCUACCUCAUCGCCGUCAGCGGCGAGAAGAAGCCCGCCAUGAGGGAGAUCAUCAUCGACGUCGAGCUCGCCGCCAGGAUCAUCCCCAGGGGGUUCAUCUGGCCCGUCGCCGCCUACCGCGAGCUCAUCAAUGGUGACCUCGUCGUCGACGACGCCGACAUCGGAUACUAAUUGGCGGGCCGUGCGUGCACGCAUGGUUGGCUAGUCGGUCGGUCCCCGGUCAGGUGAACUCUGCUUCCAUUCCAUGGCUGCUAGUGCUCUGCUCUGCAUCCUCUGCUCUCUAAUAGCUCAAUCACUUAAUGAUGGAUGAUUAAUGUAUUUGUUUCCUCUUUUUUCAGCUGGGCAAUGGGGGGAUGUGAAGGCUUGUGGUGC